rnacentral:rRNA from 1 species
UACGGGGGGAGCAAGCGUUGUUCGGAUUUACUGGGCGUAAAGGGCGCGUAGGCGGCCUGUGCAAGUCAGUUGUGAAAUCUCCGGGCUUAACUCGGAACGGUCAACUGAUACUGCUCGGCUAGAGUGCGGAAGGGGCAACUGGAAUUCUUGGUGUAGCGGUGAAAUGCGCAGAUAUUAGGAGGAACACCGAUGGCGAAGGCAGGUCUCUGGGCAUUAACUGACGCUGAGGAGCGAAAGCAUGGGGAGCGAACAGG